rnacentral:sRNA from 1 species
UAAGUUCUGUUACAAAUGAAUGUGCAU